CAACUCUGGUUUCUCUUCAGAUUGUAUAAAUCUUUUGCCUUUUAUCAAAGAUCUCCACGGAGAGAAACAAUGAUAAGUUUUCACUUUGAGGAAGGCUUAGUGGAUAAAGCAC